UGAUAUGCUUGUCUUAAAGAUUAAGCCAUGCAUGUAUCAGUACAAGCCUAACUAAGGUGAAACCGCGAAUGGCUCAUUAAAUCAGUUAUUAUUUACUGGCCGAGACAGUGAUACAUGGAUAACUGUGGUAAUUCUAGAGCUAAUACAUGCAACCGAGCCCCAGUCCCGGCUCUCGGGUCGGGCGGGGCGCUUUUAUUGGCUGAAAACCGAUGAUCGCCCUCGCGGCGGUCGUUAUUCGAUGAAUCACAAUAACAUUGUGUGGAUCGUAUGGUCUUGUACCGACGACGCGCCUUUCAAAUAUCUGCCUUAUCAGCUCUCGACGGUUUGCUAGUGGCUGACCGUGGCUCUGACGGGUAACGGGGAAUCUGGGUUCGGUUCCGGAGAGGGAGCCUGAGAGAUGGCUACCACAUCUAAGGAAGGCAGCAGGCGCGUAACUUACCCACUCCCAGUUCAGGGAGGUAGUGACAAUAAAUACCUUACAGAGGUCUCGUUAACCGAGAUCUCUCAAACGGAAUGAGUACAACGUGAAUCCUUUAACGAGGAUCGACUGGAGGGCAAGCCUGGUGCCAGCAGCCGCGGUAAUUCCAGCUCCAGUAGCGUAUAUUAAAGCUGUUGCGGUUAAAAAGCUCGUAGUUGGAUAUCAGUGCGUGUCCGGUCCGGUAUGCCUGGCGGCGUCGCUCGCGCGUCACUGCUGGGCUCCCAAAUAUCGGCUGGCCGCAUUCAAUCGUGCCGGAUCCGUCGACGGGCCGUUCUACGGAGGGGCCUGUUGGCGACCGGCGACGUUACCUUGAACAAAUUAGAGUGCUCAAAGCAGGCUCUGAAUGCCUGUAUACAUAUUCAUGGAAUUGGAGAAUACGUCCCUGGCUCGAUUUGGUUGGUUUUGAGAGUCGAAGGGAAAUGAUUAAUAGGGACUGACGGAGGCAUUCGUAUUGCGACGCGAGGGGUGAAAUCCUGUGACCGUCGCACGACGAACUACUGCGAAAGCAUUUGCCGAGAAUGUUUUCAUUAGUCAAGAACGAAAGUUAGAGGUUCGAAGGCGAUCAGAUACCGCCCUAGUUCUAACCGUAAACGAUGUCGACCAGCAAUCCGCAACGGUCACUACACGGACUGUGCGGGCAGCUUCCCCGGGGAAACCAGAGUUUUUGGACUCCGGGGGAAGUAUGGUUGCAAAGCUGAAACUUAAAGGAAUUGACGGAAGGGCACCACCAGGAGUGGAGCUUGCGGCUUAAUUUGACUCAACACGGGACAACUCACCAGGCCCGGACACCGUAAGGAUUGACAGACUGAUAGCUCUCUCUUGAUUCAGUGGGUGGUGGUGCAUGGCCGUCUUAGUGG
rnacentral:rRNA from 1 species